UGGGGAAUUUUGGACAAUGGGCGAAAGCCUGAUCCAGCAAUGCCGCGUGUGUGAAGAAGGCCUUCGGGUUGUAAAGCACUUUUGUCCGGAAAGAAAUCCUUGGCUCUAAUACAGUCGGGGGAUGACGGUACCGGAAGAAUAAGCACCGGCUAACUACGUGCCAGCAGCCGCGGUAAUACGUAGGGUGCAAGCGUUAAUCGGAACUACUGGGCGUAAAGCGUGCGCAGGCGGUUUGCUAAGACCGAUGUGAAAUCCCCGGGCUCAACCUGGGAACUGCAUUGGUGACUGGCAGGCUAGAGUAUGGCAGAGGGGGUAGAAUUCCACGUGUAGCAGUGAAAUGCGUAGAGAUGUGGAGGAAUACCGAUGGCGAAGGCAGCCCCCUGGGCCAAAUACUGACGCUCAUGCACGAAAGCGUGGGGAGCAAACAGGAUUAGAUACCCUGGUAGUCCACGCCCUAAACGAUGUCAACUAGUUGUUGGGGAUUCAUUUCCUUAGUAACGUAGCUAACGCGUGAAGUUGACCGCCUGGGGAGUACGGUCGCAAGAUUAAAACUCAAAGGAAUUGACGGGGUCAUAGCUGUUUCCU
rnacentral:rRNA from 1 species